AACGCACAUUGCGCCUCUCGGUAUUCCGGGAGGCACGCCUGUUCGAGCGCCAUUACACACUCCAAGCUUUGCUUGAUGUUGGACGAUGCGAGCCUCUAAAUUGGGGACUCGGACGUCUAGAACGUGUGGGCGUCUGCGGCCGGAGCAGGAGCGUGGCAAGACUGUCUUUCAUCGACGUCAUUCGCUCUAUUUGUUUCCGACAGUGGACUGCCAAAGCAGAAAGACUUCUGUCAAAAAAGAGUUUGGCCUCGGAUCAGGCGGGGAUACCCGCUGAACUUAA
rnacentral:misc_RNA from 1 species